UGGCGGGUGGUCGGUGGCCGGUGGCCGGCUUCCCGCCCGUGUUGGUGACCGUGUCCGUGGGGCGGUCCCUGUCGCGGUGCUCGCUCGGAGGGAAGCGGAGGCCUCAGCCGGCGGCAGGGGGUCGCGGCAGAGGGAGUCGCGAGGAGCAGGGCGGCAGGGCCUGCUGCGCCCCACAGGGCACCUCGGACAUGAGCAGCAGGGGUUCCUGCCCAUCCCCCUGUGACUAGCUAAAGGCGUCAUUUCAGUCAGAGUAAGAAAAUGUGAAGAAUGUGUGCCAGGGGCAUGGUGCUGCAGCUAGACCGAGGGGCAUUUGAGAUGGCGGCUUGCAAGGGUUGCCUGGAAGAAGACAUAAUAGAAGUUUUAAGGAAAACAGUAACAGAGGAAAGGUGGCAUUUCUGUAGCUCAAAAAACUAUGUGGGUUUGAGGCCGGUGAAAUUUUGUAAAUUCUGUAGCCUCUUACAACAGUGACCCAGGGGCAGAUGCCCAGGGAGUGGUGAUGGAACGAGGCAGCAUGUGUUGGCAUUUCUUGGGAAUGCUUCCUUGCUUCCAGCAAGCCGUGGCGCAGAAGAUGGGAAAAUGGAUAAGCAGGAGAAGCUGCUUUGAUAAAGAUCUGUUCCGGCAACAGUAAGGCAGUUGCAGACAGCAUUCUGUAGGUGAAAAACUUCAGAGGACUGAAAAGGAAACCAAAAGAGGACUCAGAUGACCUUUUUGAGAAAAUCUUCGUGUUCCUUGGUCGAAAAUAGAAAGGACAUGGGAAACACUGGUGUUAGCCAAGUAGACUGGGUUUUAUGGAACACUGGGAUAAAGUCUGCAUAAAAUUGGAAGUCUGUAGGCUUCAUCUCAUUAAUAUGUGCGCCAAUUUCCUGGACGAUACAAGAGCAAGGGCAGUUGAGAGAACAACAAAAAUAAAAAAAGGACAACUCUAAAGCAUUAUGAAGUAAAUCCAAAUGCUACAUUCUUUGUAAGAGGUACAUCUUUCAGUUUACUGCAUAUUAAUGAUAGGAAACUCAAAUAUGUAAGAUAAUUUGGAGCUUGAGAAAGAUACAUAUAUAUGGUAUAACGAAGUUAGUGGGUUGAUUCUUUUGUGAUGUUGAAAUUGAUGGUUAGACGUUGUUCUUCAGGAUGGAAAAGGUAGAAAGGCUCCUGUAUUAUGCCAGUGUCCAUUAGCUGUUUCAAAGUCAGAGAACUUUCAGAAGAAUAAAAACUUAAUUAUUUAUAAAUUAAAUUUCUAAUUCAUUACAUAUGGUCUGCCAUGGACUACCUGAUCUUGCUAGAGAAUAAGUUGAACUUCUUAACAGUCUGUUCCUAAAGUCUGGGAAGAAUAAAGUUAUUAUUGUUACUUCAAACUUAAGGAAAUAUGGUGGAGUAAUUAUAUGUCCAGUAAUAACUCUCUGGUGACAUUUAAAAACCACAUUUUCUUAAUGUCGAUCAUAGUGUACUUCACCCCAGUUGUGAUGGACAAGGAAAAGCUGAUCGUUGACUGGAAAAUCACAGGUUUCAAGAUACAUCUGAGUCAUCUUGGUGGGAUGAAUGUAGCCAGCUUCUAGUCAAAGGAUCUUGUUAUGCUCUAGAGUUUAUCCACAUCUGUCUUUCUUGCAUGAGUAUGUGCACAGGAAGAUUAGUGCUGCCACGUGUACUAUGGCAAAUUUUUCAAGGCUAUAAUUCUAGAUGCCCUAAUAGGACUGUUGCAUGUAAAUAAGGGAAGGUGAUACUGGAUAAGAAGUCGUUACUGUCAAGUGGAUAUGUGGAAAUUACAAUGGCACCAAAAAUGAAUAUAUGAACAAAGGAUGGAAAUGGAAAAAAGUCAAAAUAAGGAAAGUACAAGUUAGACAACAUGACCUAUUCAAGAAUGUUGAAAAGAGUUUUAAAAUACCUGUAGCCAUGGAGGGUAAAGAUAAUGGACAAUAGUUUAUUCAUGUCAGGAAGAAAAUAAAGGACAACCAAACCUAACGUUUGAUAAGGCCAUUGCUAGAUGCAGAGUGGUGAAGUGUAGAGCUGAAAAGGUACAUUUAAAGGAUGUUUGGUUUUGGAACAUCUCACAUAUAUUGUUUGGAUUCAGUAAUGAAAGGUAAUGGUCUGUAGCAGGGGAAGGCAUUGCACAACAUUUGGUUUCAUGCAACAGGACUUUAUAACUUCCACCCAGGAGUCUUAAGAGUAGCUGAGGAGGUCUGUGAAAUGCUUCUGUUAAUUUUUAACAUGGGAUUUGCCAGCUAGGGGUUGUUGCCAAGGACGUUGCUUUAUGUAAUAUAUAUUAAGAGUAUAGUUCAAAAAUUUAGAUCUUACCAAAUAAAUAUGAAUAGUUUUCUCAUGAGUUAAUGUAUCUAUCUAUUGGAUGUACCAUGUUUAUACCAGUUUUUUUCUUGAAGUUUGGUGAAGUUAGCGUGAUGAAGUUGAUGAUUCAGAGGAGGUCUGUGUAGUCAUUGUAGAUGCUAAUGGGAGCCUUCUGUGUAAAGCACCCUGGCAGGUGCUUUACUGUGACCUUAGGACUUAAUGGGAAAUGAAUAAUAACACAGAAAUAAGUACCGUUCUUGCCUUGUGACUCAGUGUUUUGGAGUGUUUGUGUGUCUUUUCAGGAAGAAUAUUGAAAUUUCAGAGGGAAUUUAAAGAUGGCCUAAAAAUCAUCCUGAAGAUGCAGAACAUGUUUUAGGAUGUGAGUGUUAAGGAUGUCAAGAUUAAGUAGUGACUUAGGUAAUAGCAGUGAUACCUGACUUAGUUUGGAAUUUAUAUGCAUCUUAUCUGAAGUCAUACAUCUUUACUUGCUGUUUUAAAUUGAAUACAGUCAAUUUCCAGCCAGUAAAUCUUCUCAUGCUAUAAAAUUCACCCAUAGUAGUGAUCUUCUUCAUGUGCCUGUGUCUGUACACCAUUGAUCAAAGGUUAAUUUGCACUACAAUCACAUACAGAACAACAAAACAUCCUUCUAUUAACUAGCUAGCUAGCUCAUGUCUUAGUAGAUAUCUAGUCCUGCUACAUGAAUCUCACUGUGGGCUAGCAGACCUGUUUGAUGAGCAGUGUGUGGUUUACUGAUGCAAUGAGGGAAAAAUGAAUUGGGAAAAAAAAGGCAGCUAUUGAGUUCUAUUUCAUCUAAUUGGAAGCAAUAGAGCUACCAGUCAAGCAUCUUGCUAUUUUGUUGUACUGCUUCUGUCAUUUCUUUCUGUAUUGACUGUGUAGGGCCAGACCCCUGGCCCUUGAGUGGCACUGGGAGGAAAAGGCCAGCAGUCCUUCCUGCAUGGUCUCCCUGCAGGGUGGUCAAAUUGGCUUGAGAGAAGUGCAGUUCCUGUGCUAAAGCCCCCCCUGAACAAGGAGGCAAAUGGGAUGUAGGAGUUAGCACAGCACACUUCCUCUGUCCUUCUGCACUGGCCCCAAAGACUGUAAACAACGCAGGAAAAAAAUAAUUUACGUUUGCAUUUUUCAUAUUCAAGGCAGGCAAUUGACAUUUGACCUAUCGCAUCUAUUCAGAGGCCAAAUGGAUGAGAGGUUUAUUUGGUGCCGACUUGUUUAAUCUGGAGGAUGUACUGCGCUCUGUUUCCUAGGACAAAGGUGGACUCUGGCCAAGCUCUGAGCCCCACUCAGGUGGUGCUGCUGGCAGUGGGACAGGAGGAGUGCUCAGAAAGGUGUGGCGGGCUGUGUCCCUGCUGCCUGCUCCUGUUUGUGGGAACCAUCUCCCUGCAUCCCUGCCUGUUGGUAUAUAUCCUCACAUUUCUGCAGGUUGGUGGGAGGCAUACUCCAGUUGCUGAGAUUCCCAGAUACAUGUCGGAUCUUAGGGCCUUGGGAAUUAUCUGCCAGUUUAUGUCCGUAUUUUGGGGGAGCUGGUGUUUGCAAAGCUCGCAGUUUGCUCUUUGGCCCUUAUAGAACCUUAGCAGCAAAAGCAAGUAAGUUUGGUUUAGAGAAGUUUAAUGUUAAAUCCUUACAACAGUGUUGGAAGGAAAGCUGUGACAGGAAGAAAACUAAUAAAGUGCAACUGUAGAGCAAACCUGAGACUGAGCUUCCUUCUUAGAUAACACUUAGGAUCUUCUGGGCCACAACAGACAUUCAAGAGAAUGAUUCAGUAGCCCUUCACCUACUGUGGAGGUCCCAUUUAGAGUCAUAGAACAGCCCAGGUUGGAAGGGACCUUGAAAGAUCCUUUUCUCCAACCUUUUGUGGCAAAGGAAGCAUAGGUGAGAUUAUCUAGCGCCCUGUCCAAUUGCAUCUUGAAAACCUCCAGUGAUGGGACUCUAGCACUUUCAUGGGGAGUUGGUUUCAGUUAUUAUUGUCACUGUAAAAAAUGUCUUGUCUUAUAUCAAGAUUUUUUUUAAUACUUUAGCAUUUACUGUCUUUUUGUUUCUUUGCUCAUCAAGUUCAUGGUCUUGCUUACUGUGGCAUUUUUAAGAUUGUCAUAAUAUUCUCUAUGCUUGACAACCAUAAUAUUUUUACAAGCUUUAUUACACUUGCAUCAUAUUCUGUGUUUUUCAUAGAGACUAUGUAUGUUAUAACUACUUAGACAUAAUUACAACUCAAUAUGUAGAGUGGAUUUAUUUGAUCAGUUUUAGGUCACAUUUACCCCAGAAGCUCCUUUUAGGUUCCUCUUAGGAUUGCAUUCAGAUCUUAUCCAGGCUUGCUCUGUGACUUCCUACUCUUGUUUCUAUUCUCAGCUUCUUUCUCCACCCCAUCCCCUCCAAGAAUAGUCAGCUACAUAUUUGGCCUUAUGUAAUUUAAAUUCAAAGCCUUACAUUUGCCUUUCUUUGAACAUGUACCUGUGUUUUAGGAAUUAAAUACCCAUGUUGUUUCUUAGAUUUAUCUUAAAGUGCAGGCCAGUAGUUUACUUCACCGAUGACAAGAUUUAGUUCUCCCAUCAACUGAGGUGCUUCAAAGCAGAUCUGCUUUUUGAAGAACUAACAGUGGGAUUAUUUAUUUGUGAUACAGAAUUUUUAUUUAGGGAUGGGAGUGUGCAAAAGUAGGGUGAAAAAGAGCAAGUGUUGAGCAUUUUAGAGGAAGGAAACCAAAGGAAGGAAAUACACCUAAGUCUUGUUGGCUGCCACUCCUGCUGCAGCAGAUGUAAGGCGGUUACAGAUCUUUGAAGGCAACAGGCAAUAGUGCAAUAGCAUCUGCAAAGACAACGAGAAGAUGGUAAAGAUGAAGUGCUGCAUACCAAAACAUCUCCUUUUGGUUCUAGUCAGUCCCAAGCUAUCCUUUGAAAGGAGCAAUGCUUAUGUAAUCCAAAUUAUGUAUAGAUUUUCAGAGGUGCCAAAAAAAAUUCAUGUUCUACUGAUUCCGAAGCCUAUAAUCUUUAUGCAUGGUGUAUGUGUCUGUAGGUUUCUCCUAACAUGUUUGUUAAAUCUGCUGUUUUGAUGUUAACUAUUUUAAAGCCACAGCGUUAGCUUUCAAAAUGUCUCUACCUGCCGAAUUCUUUUCUUCGCCUGCCCUUUGACUUCUUGAGUGUAUUGUUUGAUAAAGUUGUCAGACUUGCAAAAGUGCUUCAUCCAAAAGUCUCUGAUGCAAGAAUCCUGGUUUCCUUCUGAAAUGUAAAAUGAAGUGCUGUCAAGCAAAGUGACUGCUUAUAAAACAUCUUUCAUUACAGAAUAUCUUAAUGCUAAUUUAUUUCAUUCUGAUGCAAUGUGAAGAAAAACAGCAUAGUAAAAGUGCAUUCUAAAAGUAUUCUUGAAGUUAGCAGUGCAUGAUGGAUUGCCAGGACUGAGCAAUUUUAGGGGUUUAAAUUAUAGCACCAGAGUAUUCAGGAAAACAGGACAACUAGAAAAGUCUUGUCUAACGUUUUUUACUGUGUCUGUGGAAAAGCUGCUAACCUAAACGUAAGUGUGCUACAGCGAUAAAUAUUUUAUUAAUAAAUAUAUCAUAGCCAUGUGCUGUGACAAUGCUUAGUAAAGGAGAGUAUUAGUAUGUCUAUUUUACAGGCUGUUUUUCAAAGAUAAAUAAAUUAGCUGUAGAGAGUACAGCUAGAGAGUUUCAUUUAUGUAAUGCAAAGGGUUCAAACAAUAAUCAGGGACUGCAAAAUCUGAGCAAUCCAAUCUGCUUGGUUUAUCAGCAAAAAGCUUAAAGGUUUGUGAGUACUUAUUGGGAGAUCAGAAAGUUAUUAAUAGGAUGUUUUGACGUAUUGGGAUAUUACAGGAUUGAUGGCCAGAAGGUAAAACAGGACAAAUUCAGGCUAAAACCCCCCAUAGUAUUAAUAAAUAAACUUUGUAUCAAUUGUCAGAGUAGUUGA